rnacentral:rRNA from 1 species
AGAGAGAGACAUGCGCGCAUAUCAAUAAGCGGAGGAAAAGAAACUAACAAGGAUUCCCCUAGUAACGGCGAGUGAAGCGGGAAGAGCUCAAAUUUGAAAUCUUAAAGGGUUUCCCUUUACGAAUUGUAGCUUAAAGAAGUGUUUUCUGUUGAGGUUUUGGUAAAAGUUCUUUGGAAUAGGACAUCAUAGAGGGUGAGAAUCCCGUAUUUGACCUUUACUUUCAACUUUGUGAUACACUUUCAAAGAGUCGGAUUGUUUGGGAAUGCAGUCCAAAAUGGGUGGUAAAUUUCAUCUAAAGCUAAAUAUUGGCGAGAGACCGAUAGCGAACAAGUACCGUGAGGGAAAGAUGAAAAGAACUUUGAAAAGAGAGUUAAACAGUACGUGAAAUUGUCAAAAGGGAAGCGUUUGACACCAGUGUUGUUUUUCUGAAAAUCAAUUAAAGAACUGUUUAUGCUAAGUUGUUUAGACUUUAUCAGCUAACUGUUUAGUUUUGAGCUUUUCUUUAAUGCACUUUUCAGUUAACAAGUCAACAUCAAUUUCUUUUGCUGUAAAAAAGCUUGAGGAAGGUGGCUUGAGAUUCGUCUUAAGUGUUUAUAGCCUCUUGCCUAUGCAGUCGGAGAGAUUGAGGUCUGCAGCGUAGAUCCUUCGGGGCUAAAUGCAUUUGUGCUAAGUUAUAACAUUUUAUAGACAACUUGUUGACUAUGAUUUGUCUUGUAGCUUACUCGCUUAUGUUAUUUUACCUACGCUUAGGAUGUUGACGCAUGAGAUAUACGC